GUGCACUUCGGCCGCACGUGCACGGAAACUGGGCCAAUACAGAGAAGAUCAGCAUAACUCCACACAAGGGUGGCAUGCAAACCUGUGAAACGUUCGUAUUUCUU